rnacentral:rRNA from 1 species
GACGAACGCUGGCGGCGUGCUUAACACAUGCAAGUCGAACGAUGAAGCUGGAGCUUGCUCCGGUGGAUUAGUGGCGAACGGGUGAGUAACACGUGAGUAACCUGCCCUUGACUCUGGGAUAACUGCGGGAAACGGUAGCUAAUACCGGAUACGACCCUCGGCGGCAUCGCCAGGGGGUGGAAAGAAUUUCGGUCAAGGAUGGACUCGCGGCCUAUCAGCUAGUUGGUGAGGUAACGGCUCACCAAGGCGACGACGGGUAGCCGGCCUGAGAGGGUGACCGGCCACACUGGGACUGAGACACGGCCCAGACUCCUACGGGAGGCAGCAGUGGGGAAUAUUGCACAAUGGGCGCAAGCCUGAUGCAGCAACGCCGCGUGAGGGAUGACGGCCUUCGGGUUGUAAACCUCUUUUAGUAGGGAAGAAGCGAAAGUGACGGUACCUGCAGAAAAAGCACCGGCUAACUACGUGCCAGCCGCCGCUGUAA